rnacentral:rRNA from 1 species
UACGGAGGGGGCUAGCGUUGUUCGGAAUUACUGGGCGUAAAGCGCGCGUAGGCGGACCUGCAAGUCGGGGGUGAAAGCCCGAGGCUCAACCUCGGAACUGCCUUCGAUACUGCGGGUCUCGAGUCCGGGAGAGGUGAGUGGAAUUCCUAGUGUAGAGGUGAAAUGCGCAGAUAUCGGGAGGAACACCUAUGGCGAAGGCAGCUCGCUGGGACGUUACUGACGCUGAGACGCGAAAGCGUGGGGAGCAAACAGG